UACAGAGGGUGCGAGCGUUAAUCGGAAUUACUGGGCGUAAAGCGUGCGCAGGCGGUUCGUUGUGUCUGUGGUGAAAUCCCCGGGCUUAACCUGGGAAUGGCCAUGGAAACUGGCGAACUGGAGUGCGGCAGAGGGGGGUGGAAUUCCGCGUGUAGCAGUGAAAUGCGUAGAGAUCCGGAGGAACACCAGAGGCGAAGGCGGCCUACUGGGCCAGUACUGACGCUGAGCCGCGAAAGCCAGGGGAGCGAACGGG
rnacentral:rRNA from 1 species